AGAGUUUGAUCCUGGCUCAGAACGAACGCUGGCGGCAUGCCUAACACAUGCAAGUCGAACGAGACCUUCGGGUCUAGUGGCGCACGGGUGCGUAACGCGUGGGAAUCUGCCCUUGGGUUCGGAAUAACAGCUAGAAAUGGCUGCUAAUACCGAAUAAUGACGUAAGUCCAAAGAUUUAUCGCCCAAGGAUGAGCCCGCGUAGGAUUAGCUAGUUGGUGAGGUAAAAGCUCACCAAGGCGACGAUCCUUAGCUGGUCUGAGAGGAUGAUCAGCCACACUGGGACUGAGACACGGCCCAGACUCCUACGGGAGGCAGCAGUGGGGAAUAUUGGACAAUGGGCGAAAGCCUGAUCCAGCAAUGCC
rnacentral:rRNA from 1 species